AGAGUUUUUCUUUUUGUGGCGCUAAUCCUCUUCCGUAUAAAAUGUAAAUAAAUAAACAAAAAACUAAAUAAACGUCUGCAUUUACCUGCAGAGUCUGUAAAAGAGCCAUCCCAUAAGUCAGAUGUGAAGGAUGCUUUCACUGCACAAAAGGCAUAUUAUGCUGCCUUUUUUGCGCUGCGCGAUAGAGCACAAAGGAGAAAGGAUCCCAUCUGGAGUGAAUGUGUUUACCACAGGGUUUAGUAGUAGGAUGGAACUGAAAAAAUAAAUAAAAAUACAGUCAAGUGCAGAAUUACUUGAAGCCUUUACAGAUUUUGUUCUGACUAGAUUUAACAUCUGCACAUCUUGAAGUGACUCAGCCAGAAUCACAACUUAGAUCUGAUAGAGAAUCUGUAGAGCGAGUUUUAAUUAUUGAAGGAUGCUUUCUACUCUCACAGACUCGUCACCAAUUAGAAAGAGAAAUCAACAAAAUACAAGUUGAAACAUGAAAAGAAAAAUACAGAAUGAAGCUGAUUUCAACACUCGUGUUUAAAAUUGACAUAGGGCUAGAGUAACUGUUUUUAUUGAUCGAUUGUUUUUCAGUUAGAUCCGUAAGGACUUGCCAGAUUUGUUAAUUUCUUUGUGUUCAAUGUUAUGGCAUAAUGAAGUAAUGCCAUGAAAUCUACGUUUUAUAGAAGACUAUGUUUUACAUAAAAUGCCAUGUUUAUCAAAUGACUUAAACAAAAUCUUGCUUCUUAAUGUAACGCCUUGAAAUUGGGCCUCUGUCUCUUUAAAAACUCCUGUUUUCUCCGAAACUCCGCCUUCAGGAAGUCAUCACCACGUCGCUCCCUUAUCGACCCUCUAACAGCUUUGCACUGAAAAGUAACAUCAUCACAACAUGCUGGAACGCUCAGAUACACCAAUGAGCUUGAACCUUUUCUGAACGCAACAUGAUAAUAUAAUGAAAAUUGUUAUAAACACUUUUGUCAUUUCAGUAAAUGUGCUUAUAAUUCUAUGAAUUCUGAGUCUAUCAAUGUUUGUUUUUGUUAUUUCUUUUAUCAACAUUUAAGCUUGAAUGUAUCUGUUGGUUACGUUGACAUUGCAAAAUAUCAGUAGACGACUUUCAUGUUGUUUGUGGAUCAUUUCUGUAGCUUUGUUAUCAUUUUUAAGAUGCCAUGAGCUUUUAUCUGCUUUUCUUCUACAUUAAAGUUUAACAGUAUCAAA